rnacentral:lncRNA from 1 species
UGCUCUAUUUCUCCUCUAAAACCAGCAGCUAAGCUUCUCUAUUUUCCCUUCAAAAAUCAGCAGCCAAAAAAAAAAAGAUUAACAACAAAAAUCGCACCUUACAACCUCCAAAAUCAACUGCAAAAAUCUGCACUUCUCAGCCUCCAAAACCAGCAGCAAAACUACACUUUUCAACCUCCAAAAUUAGUAGCUAAAGCUGCUCCUCUCACCCCUUAAAUGGACAGAAAAAUGCUCUCUUUUCCUCCUUAAAUGGCAGCAAAA